GGUCCUCUACCAGAGAAGCCUAUUGAGAUAUAUGAAUUUGAAAGCUGUCCAUUUUGUCGGAAGGUUAGGGAAAUCGUUGCAGUGUUGGAUCUUGAUGUCCUAUUUUAUCCUUGGCCGAAAA